rnacentral:rRNA from 1 species
UGGGGAAUAUUGCGCAAUGGGCGAAAGCCUGACGCAGCGACGCCGCGUGAGGGAUGACGGCCUUCGGGUUGUAAACCUCUUUCAGCAGGGAAGAAGCGAAAGUGACGGUACCUGCAGAAGAAGCACCGGCUAACUACGUGCCAGCAGCCGCGGUAAUACGUAGGGUGCAAGCGUUGUCCGGAAUUAUUGGGCGUAAAGAGCUCGUAGGCGGUCUGUCGCGUCGGAUGUGAAAAUCCAGGGCUCAACCCUGGACCUGCAUUCGAUACGGGCAGACUAGAGUUCGGUAGGGGAGACUGGAACUCCUGGUGUAGCGGUGAAAUGCGCAGAUAUCAGGAGGAACACCGGUGGCGAAGGCGGAUCUCUGGGCCGAUACUGACGCUGAGGAGCGAAAGCAUGGGGAGCGAAC